CGUGAAGGUAGAGCACUGAAUAUGCGAUGGCCGCAUCCCGCGGUACUGAGCAUAAUCAAACUCCGAAUGUCACGGUGUCAUCUGCGGCAGUCAGACGGCGAGUGAUAAGGUCCGUCGUCAAGAGGGAAACAGCCCAGACCAUCAGCUAAGGUCCCAAAGUGCAUGCUAAGUGGAAAAGGAAGUGGAGACGUGCAGACAACUAGGAGGUUGGCUCAGAAGCAGCCAUCCUUCAAAGAGUGCGUAACAGCUCACUAGUCGAAUGACUCUGCGCCGAUAAUUUACCGGGGCUAAGCAUGACACCGAAGCUAUGGACAGGAAUGUGGUAGGGGAGCAUUGCAUGCAGCGGAGAAGCAUGACCG
rnacentral:rRNA from 1 species